rnacentral:rRNA from 1 species
UACGUAGGUGGCAAGCGUUGUCCGGAUUUACUGGGCGUAAAGGGCGUGCAGGCGGUUUGUUAAGUGCAGGGUGAAAGCUCCCGGCUCAACUGGGAGAGGUCCUUGCAUACUGGCGAACUCGAGGGAGGCAGAGGAAAGUGGAAUUCCCGGUGUAGUGGUGAUAUGCGUAGAUAUCGGGAGGAACACCUGUGGCGAAGGCGGCUUUCUGGGGCCUUACCUGACGCUGAGACGCGAAAGCGUGGGGAGCGAACCGG